rnacentral:lncRNA from 1 species
GCGGCGGCUGAAGAGACAGAUCCCGGUCCCGCCGACUCGCGAGCGGCGUCUCCGGCAGCGGGGGGAGUGGGCGGGCGGGUCCCACAAACUGCAAGGAAAAGAAAAACCCUCAACAGGAAUUACCUUUAUACCUGAUGCCCCCAACAUAAUCUCUCUCCAAGGGAAACGUGUUUUUAUUGCCUUGCGGCUGAAAAUGUAUUCUCGAUUCU